AUUGAACGCUGGCGGAAUGCUUUACACAUGCAAGUCGAACGGCAGCACGGGGGCAACCCUGGUGGCGAGUGGCGAACGGGUGAGUAAUACAUCGGAACGUGCCCAGUCGUGGGGGAUAACUACGCGAAAGCGUAGCUAAUACCGCAUACGAUCUACGGAUGAAAGCGGGGGAUCGCAAGACCUCGCGCGAUUGGAGCGGCCGAUGGCAGAUUAGGUAGUUGGUGGGGUAAAGGCUCACCAAGCCUGCGAUCUGUAGCUGGUCGGAGAGGCGGACCACCCACACUGGAACUGGGCCACGGCCCAGCUUCUAACGGAGGCAGCAGUGGGGAAUUUUGGACAAUGGGCGCAAGCCUGAUCCAGCCAUUCCGCGUGCAGGAUGAAGGCCCUCGGGUUGUAAACUGCUUUUGUACGGAACGAAACGCGCUGAGUUAAUACCUCGGCGCAAUGACGGUACCGUAAGAAUAAGCACCGGCUAACUACGUGCCAGCCGCCGCAGUAAUAC
rnacentral:rRNA from 1 species